CUCGCGCUGUCUCCUCCUCCUCCUCUGCGGGGGAAACCGCUGCACCCAAACCGGGAGCAGCUGCGAGCAGGGGGCAGGGCGCGGGCUGAAAGGCGAGCCGAAGGUUCAAACCUCCGCGGCGCGGGCGGGGGCGGAGGGCAACAGCAGGACGGCCCCCAGGUCCCGAGAAGGCGUGGCAGUGGUCGGCCCAGGUGUCAGGGAACCUGGCCUGAGACCCCUGCAUUUCCAAGCUUCUUUCCUGGUCAGAGGAAACGUGAACCAAAGGUAGUUCAGCUAAACAGACCACCUCGAGCCGGGUUCGAGGCAUCUGUCUCGAGGGCAAGACAGUAUUUUUUGCACGACAGAAAGUUACACCAUCCAUUUUUUUCCGUGGGGGAAAUCAUUGCGCCCCUUCCCCCAAAAUGUCGCGCAAGAAGAAUGACCUCCCGCUACCCAGACCUUCGCCAGUGUCCCCCACCCCACCCCCACCCGGGCGCUGGGUGUGGAUUGGGCGGAGGGAGGCUAUAUGGGAGCUUAAAGCAUGAGGUCAUGAGCGGAGGAGACUGCUGCCAAAAGCACCCGAGGUUUUUGUGUUUUUUGAGGGGUAACGGUUCUCCAUCUUCAGCAGUGGAAAGUCCUCCCGCCUACCCUACCAAUUCUGGGGCACGUGGACCACAGAGUCCCUGAAAAGAGGAGGGGACCCGGGCUAUUUCGCUUAAUGAGCGUUUGGCGCGUGCCCAGCCCUUUAUGGAGCCCUUCCACAUAAGCAAAGAAAGCCGAGGGACAGCGCACAGUGUUGCGGCGACUGGGAAAGGCUUCAGAUGCUCGAUGUCCCCCGCCCUCUUUCCUCAGUCCUCGGUCAUCUUCCAAGUGGGCUGCUUUCUGCGAUAGCUUCCUGUCCCCCUCCGACCCAUUCCUCCCAAGCGACUAAAACUCCUAAUGACAUUAUUUUAAAGCCUUCAAAACCCUCUUCCAUUGCCCUUAGAAUAAAGCCAAGUUGUGAUUUCGCCUCUACAGACCUCUCUACCCGCCCAGCUCUUCCUCGGAUAUUGUAAGCCCCGUCAAGCUUUCUUUGUUCAAGGGGUGGAGGAGGGGGCGCCUAACCUUUCCCCUUCCACCUCUUCUUACUAACUCCUGCUGGACCUUCAAGAUUUGACUCAACUGUCAGUAACUUCAAGAUGCCUUCCUGAGGGUACACCCAGGUCUCUACCUCAGGGGAAAAGACCUACCCUAGGUCUCCUGGCAGCAGCGCUGUGGCCGGAGUUGGCCCCAGUGGCGGCCUUUUUCCAAGCGGAGGAGGAACAGCCAAGCUAAGCUUGACCACCGUCACCGCCCAGGGACCUGAGCGGGAGCUGGCUAGGACAAAACCUCAAAACGGGACUUGGGAAAACCGCACCACCCAGAAAACUCAGCCCCUCCACCUCCCUCCCAGCACACACACACACCCUCUUAAUCUAAAACUCCUCCCCGGGGCAGAUAAGGAACCUAUUCGGAGAGUUAAGUUAAUUGCCCCAGGUCAAUGUGGAAAUUCACAGCCUGUCUUUCCAGCUCCUAAACCAGAAGCUGCAGAGAAGGAAGGAUUUGGGAUUUGCGGCUACACAGCCAAGGACGCUUUUGUCAUCUUCAAAGGACCCCCUACACCCUACACGCUUGGCCCGCUCUGUUCAUUGCCAACAGAGUGAUGAGCCCACGGGGUUGAGGCUGCAGUGAGCAGAUUGCCCCACUGCACUCCAGCCUGGGUGACAGCGCAAGACUCUGUCUCAAAAAAUAAAAUUAUAUAUAUAGAGAGAGGGAGAGAGAGAGAGAGAAAGAGAGCACCAAAAGGACUGGGAAACACCGGCAGAUGCACAGACAAUGCAUCCCUGAUUUUACCAAUAGACUUGACUCCCAACAAUGCAUACUCUUGAAGGCAAUCCACAGGUUGAAUAAACCAAGUCCAUGAGCGCUGGGUCUGGAAUCUUUCUACAAUCAGGGUCAGAAGGAGGGUGACUGAAAUUAAAAUAUUAGCUUGGAUCUUUGAAAUCAGAGUCAGGCUGAAAAAGUCCCAAUCUUAGUUCAAAACCUGUCCUGCAUGACUGAAGCCCUCCUAGGGCUGCACAAAGUAUAAUGGAAUUAUUAUUAUUAUUAUCAUUAGAUCCUAGUCUUACCAUUCUCAGCACUUAUCCCCAUAGCAAAAGACCAUUUUUUAAUGUAAUUUAUUCUUUUGGAAUAGGUUGAAUGCAUUCACAUGGUUCCAAAUUCAAAUAAACAGCAAGAAGUCUCCCUCCCACCCUGUCUGCCACCCACUUGGUUUUCCUUCUCUGGAGGCAACCUGGGUUAGUGGUCAGAAGAUGCAUUUAACUGUUUUCCAGCUGAGGCCUUGUGAGAACUCCUCGGACACCAAUUUAAAUCUUUAUGUCCAGAACUCCUUUCUCCAAUCCAGGUAGAGCCACUCCCCUAUCCUAUCCCCACUCCCACCCUUCCCCCCUUCAGCCUCAAUCCUAAGCAGGCUCUAUUAACAAUGAUGAGCCACCAUUUCCUCGAGCUACUAACAAAUGCAAAUGUUUAAAUACUUUGUGGUUCUUUUUCCUCUUCUACAUUAAUUGCUAACAUUUAUCGAGGGCUUUCCGUGUGCCACGCACUGUGCUAAAUACUAGGCAUGCAUAUUCUUAUUUAAUCUGCCCCAAAUCUUCAUCAUUAUCCUUAUUUACAGAUGCAGACAGAAAUGAAAGUUCAGAGAGAUUAUGUAAUUUGCACCAAUUUGCAUCCAGGCCAACCUGAAUCCAAACGGUCUCACUCUUGUCAGCCCAGAUGGCAUGCAGUGGCACAGUCUAUGGAGGCAAUCAGGGUUAGCUGUCAGCUCACUGUGGCCUCAACCUCCCAGGCGCAAGUGAUCCUCCCACCUCAGCAUCCCCAGUAGCUGGGACUACAGGUGUACGCCACUACCCCCAGCUAAUUUUUGUAUUUUUUUGUAGAGAUGAGGUUCCACCAUUCUUGCCCAGACUGGUUUCGAACUCCUGGACUCAAGCGAUUUGCCUGCCUCGGCCUCAAAAAGUGCUGGGAUUACAUGCAUGAGCCACCACACCCGGACCCUCUCUCUUAAAUAGUGGCCCUUUUGCCUCUCUGCAACACAGGAAAAAUUCUGUUAGCCUGCAUCAGAAGGAGUGGCAUGGAGGCUUUGGAGUUAAGAAGAUUUAAUUCAAAUUAUGUGUCCGGUGCCUGCCAGCAAUGAGACCUUGGUAAGGUUUCUUAACCUCUCUGAGCUGGGACCAUACCUUCUGCGUUGGUUUAAUAUAAAGGUUAAAUGCAUGUAAAUAAAUGACUUCUAAAAUAAAUAACAUUCUAAAAUGUUAGUAACAACUAAAUACAAUAUUUAGAUCUUGUGAGGAUUUGAUUUGAAUAAAUAAGAUUUUUUUAAAAGACAUUUUUGAGACAAAAUGUAGACUAUCUGAUAUUAAGAAAUUAAUCACUUUUUCAGAUAUGAUAAUGGCAUUGCAGUUUUUUUUAAGUUCUUAUCUAUUACAGAUACAUAAUGAGGCAUUUUGAGUGAAAAUAUAUCUAGGAUUUGCUUUCCAAUACUCCAUCCCCUCCCCAUCAAAACACUAAAUAAAUGAAACAAGAUUAGUGAAAUACGGAAAAUUGUUGAAGUUAUUCAUUAUUCCAUUUCCCAUAUGGAACUUUCCAUACUAGUUUCCCUACUGCUGUUGAAUAUUUGACAUGUUUCAAAUACAUUUGAAAUAAAUUUAUUGUCUGAGAUGAUCAGGUUGAAAAAUAAUAAAAUGAAAUAAAUUUAAAAGUAAAAUAAACAUAACCCUUUUAAGCAUUAAAAUUAAAAAUUAUGAGGCUUGUUGAAUUAUUACUGUUAUAAAUAAUUACAUACAUGUAUUUUUGAAACAGUCUUGCUCUUUCACCCAGGCUGCAGUGCAGUGGCAUAAUCACAGUUCACUGCGGCCUCAACCUCCCAGGCUCAGGUGAUCCUUGCACGUCUGCCUCCCAAGUAGCUGGGACUGCAGGUGUGCACCACCAUGCCUGGCUAAAUUUUUCUCUUUUGUAGAGACGGGUUUUGCGAUUUUGCCCACACUGGUCUUAAAGUCCUGGG
rnacentral:lncRNA from 1 species